UGCCAAGGUGGGAGGAGUUACAACAAAAUACUAUGAUGCGGUAUAUUUUGAUUCUGAUUCUGAGGAUGAAGACAAAGCAGUGACCAAGAAGAAGAAGAAGAAACAACACAGGAUUCCAACAAACGAUGAGCUGCUCUAUGAUCCCGAGAAAGAUAGCAGAGACCAGGCCUGGGUAGAUGCAAAGAGGAGGGGUUAUCAUGCUUUUGGAUUGCAAAGACCAUGUCAGAAACAACAGCCUGUCCCAAACAGUGAUGCUGUUUUGAAUUGCCCAGCCUGUAUGACUACACUGUGCCUUGAUUGCCAGAGGCAUGAAUCCUACAAGACUCAGUACAGGGCAAUGUUUGUGAUGAAUUGCUCUAUCAACAGAGAGGAGGUUCUAAGAUACAAGAAUUCAGACAAUAGGAAGAAAAGGCGGAGUGCUAAGAAGAUGCGGUCUAAUCCUGAAGACCUCGCAGAGAGAGAAGUGGAAGAAAUCUAUCACCCUGUCAUGUGCACAGAGUGCUCAACUGAAGUGGCUGUCUAUGACAAGGAUGAAGUCUUUCACUUUUUCAAUGUUCUAGCAAGCCAUUCUUGAACAAUGUGACAGGUAACUGCCCAGCUCUGUGUAUAAGGCAAAUAUAGACUCUUAUUUUCCUCUUUCCUAUUCAUUUAAUUCAGUGACAUCAUUAUUAAAACAGUAUUUCAUCUUUAUGAAAAGGAAUGGUUAUCAACCUUUAUCUCUUCUCCCUUCUUUCUUUUUAAUUCUCCCAUGAGUAUUGAUAGGACUGAUUAUUCCAUUUCUGCUGCAUAUUUGGAGACUUUGGGGCUUCUUAUUUAUUAGCUUCCUAGAAUCAAACAGUUUUAGAAUAAGUAUUUGUUUCCUAGUCUUUGGUCAUCUAUUUUCUAUUGCUAUAACAAAAUACUACAGGUUGGGUGUUUUAUAAAGAAAUAAGUUUUAUCGGUUGGCAAGAUGGCUCUGCACUUGGCAUGCAAACCCCAUAACUUGAGUUCAGUCCCUGGAAUUUGCAAUGGAAGGAGAGAAUCAACUCUUGAAAGUUUUCCUAUUUCCUAAACAUAAGUGCACGAAUGUACACAUGCGUGACAUACACAUGCGCGUGCGCACACACACACACACACACACACACACACACACACACACACACACACACCAUUCCCCUGAAGGGGCCUCGAGUACGCUCUGAGAGGAACUAUUUUCUAUCUCUAAUCUCUAAUUACCUUCUGGGCUUUCUUCAAGCUACAAGUCAGGAGAGCUGGGCCAGUGAGGUUUGAAUGAAAUUGAGACAACAGGUAAUGAAUGGUUCCUUCUGUCUUCUGUGGCUGGGGUGUAGCAGUGGUGGGAUGCAUGCUUGAUAUGUGCAGGUUCCUGGGCUGGAUAGCAGCACCAUAUACACAGGCACACAGGGGAGUUUCCAAGAAGUUUCCAGUGCUUAGGGCAUGGUGGCCUGUAAUUGGGAAAGACAAGAAGGGAAGGAAUGGGGGAAAGAAGUUAGUUUUAGUGUGUUGGUAACUAGCGUAGUUGAUAAUUUUUAUAAUAUGUUGGUAUCUAUAUGGAGGCAAUAUGUACUUAACAUUUUUAGUUUCAAAUUAGCACAUGGUAGUAUGUUACAGAGCAACCCUCCUCUGAUACUGUUAUUGCAAGCCCUACUUUCUUCUCAGAGUCAGUGACCACCCUAGUGCUCCAGUCCAGUGUUAAGUUCUCAGUGUCUUAUAAGAUCACCUGGAGAAAAUGCUAAAAAGCUUGCCCUUGGGUCCCUCUGUGAAGAUGAUGCUGUAACAAGCAGGGAAUCCCAAUGUUUAAAGAUGGAGCCUGGGGUUGGGGAUUUAGCUCAGUGGUAGAGCGCUUGCCUAGGAAGCUCAAGACCUUGGGUUCGGUCCCCAGCUCCGAAAAAAAAGACCCAAAAAAAAAAAAAAAAAAAAAAAAAAAAGAACCAAAGAUGGAGCCUGAUGGAAACAAGGAGAGAACAGAGCUUUAGAGAGGAGGAUUUCAUGCACUGUUUACACUAAGUUGAUACGAAUUGGAGCUACUUUGUUUAAGAUGAUAUUUGCAAAUCCCCAGGAUAACAUUACCAGGAAAAAAAAUGAAAAUGAAGGGCUAGAGAGAUGACUCAGUAGUUAAGAGCAUUGAUUUCUAGAGGAUCUGGGUUCAAUUUCUAGCAGCCACAUGACAGCUCACAGCUCUCUGUAACUCUACACAAAAUAAAAUAAAAUAAAAUUAACUGAAAAGAAUCUAAGAAUAGACUAUAUAUUUAAGCAUGAAUCUAUUUACCACAUAGGGAAAAGAUCUAGAGGGGAAGGUAUGUAUGGAGGUGGGGAAAAACAAACUUUGGCGUGCUUUCUCACAUGCACAUUGUUUUCCUUGAGUCAGGGGAGUGUUGACUGACAAUUUGGGGGCGAGCAGACAGUGAAUAGGAGAAAAGUUCAGUGAUGCCCAUAUGCAAAUGCCAUAAUGA
rnacentral:lncRNA from 1 species